GACAGAGGAUGCAAGCGUUAUCCGGAAUGAUUGGGCGUAAAGCGUCUGUAGGUGGCUUUUUAAGUCCGCCGUCAAAUCCCAGGGCUCAACCCUGGACAGGCGGUGGAAACUACCAAGCUGGAGUACGGUAGGGGCAGAGGGAAUUUCCGGUGUAGCGGUGAAAUGCGUAGAGAUCGGGAAGAACACCCGUGGCGAAGGCGGCUCUCUGGGACGGUACUGACGCUGAGACGCGAAAGCGUGGGGAGCGAACAGG
rnacentral:rRNA from 1 species